GACGAACGCUGGCGGCGUGCUUAACACAUGCAAGUCGAACGAAGAGCGAUGGAAGCUUGCUUCUAUCAAUCUGAGUGGCGAACGGGUGAGUAACGCGUAAUCAACCUGCCCUUCAGAGGGGGACAACCGUUGGAAAGGACUGCUAAUACCGCAUACGAUCUAACCUCGGCAUCGAGGAAAGAUGAAAGGUGGCCUCUAUGUAUAAGCUAUCACCGAAGGAGGGUAUUGCGUCUGAUUAGCUAGUUGGGGGGGUAACGGCCUACCAAGGCGAUGAUCGGUAGCCGGUCUGGGAGGAUGGACGGCCACAUUGGGACUGGGACACGGCCCAGACUCCUACGGGAGGCAGCAGUGGGGAAUCUUCCGCAAUUGACGGAAGUCUGACGGGGCAACGCCGCGUGGGUGGUGACGGCCCUCGGGUUGUAAAGCUCUGUUAAUCGGGACGAAAGGCCUUCUUGCGAAUAGAGACAAGGAUUGACGGUACCGGAACAGAAAGCCACGGCUAACUACGUG
rnacentral:rRNA from 1 species